rnacentral:rRNA from 1 species
UCAAACAGGAUUAGAUACCGUGGUAGUCCACGCCGUAAACGAUGAUUACUGGUCGUUUGCAAUAGACCGCAAGCGGCUGAGCGAAAGCAUUAAGUAAUCCACCUGGGGAGUACGUUGGCAACAAUGAAACUCAAAGGAAUUGACGGGGGCCCGCACAAGCGGUGGAACAUGUGGUUUAAUUCGAUGAUACGCGAGGAACCUUACCUGGGCUUAAAUGGAGAAUGACAGGGGUGGAAACACCCUUUUCUUCGGACAUUUUUCAAGGUGCUGCAUGGUUGUCGUCAGCUCGUGCCGUGAGGUGUCGGGUUAAGUCCCAUAACGAGCGCAACCCCUGUUGUCAGUUACCAGCACGUAAAGGUGGGGACUCUGGCAAGACUGCCGGUGUAAACCGCGAGGAAGGUGGGGAUGACGUCAAAUCAGCACGGCCCUUACGUCCAGGGCUACACACGUGUUACAAUGGCAGGUACAAAGGGCAGCUACACAGCAAUGUGAUGCUAAUCUCGAAAGCCUGUCCCAGUUCGGAUUGGAGUCUGCAACCCGACUUCAUGAAGCUGGAAUCGCUAGUAACCGCGCAUCAGCCAUGGCGCAGGUGAAUACGUUCCCGGGCAUUGUACACACCGCCCGUCAAGCCAUGAAGCCGGGAGUACCU